UCAUGGCGUAUCAUGCUGUGCAUGUCGUGAUGUCCGGGUGUAAAGAUGUUCGGUUGGCGAAUCACUCGCGGCGUAUCAUAAUGUCGGUGCAAUAAGGGCAACCUAGCCGACGUCAGAUAGCGGCGUGAGAGGGCGGCCGGACACACGGGCCAUGAUCCUCGGGGCAGCAUCAUUCGGGAGUCAGCAGCAAUGAAUGGAACCCAAAGGCAGGAACCUGAUGCAGGGACGCCGCCUGAGGGAUGGUGACCUUCGGGUUGCAGGCCUGAAUCAGCAGAGUUGUAUCGCACAUGACGGUACCUGCAGAAGAAGCGCCGGCCAACUACGUGCCAGCAGCCGCGGUAAGACGUAGGGCGCGAGCGUUGUCCGGAUUUAUUGGGCGUAAAGAGCUCGUAGGCGGCUUGUCGCGUCGAAUGUGAAAUCUCGGGGCUCAACUCCGAGCUUGCAUUCGAUACGGGCAGGCUAGAGUUCGGUAGGGGAGACUGGAAUUCCUGGUGUAGCGGUGAAAUGCGCAGAUAUCAGGAGGAACACCGGUGGCGAAGGCGGGUCUCUGGGCCGAUACUGACGCUGAGGAGCGAAAGCGUGGGGAGCGAACAGGAUUAGAUACCCUGGUAGUCCACGCUGUAAACGUUGGGCGCUAGGUGUGGGGACCCUCUCCGGGUUUCUGCGCCGCAGCUAACGCAUUAAGCGCCCCG
rnacentral:rRNA from 1 species